rnacentral:rRNA from 1 species
GCAGGCCUAACACAUGCAAGUCGAACGGUAACAGGAAACAGCUUGCUGUUUCGCUGACGAGUGGCGGACGGGUGAGUAAUGUCUGGGAAACUGCCUGAUGGAGGGGGAUAACUACUGGAAACGGUAGCUAAUACCGCAUAACGUCGCAAGACCAAAGAGGGGGACCUUCGGGCCUCUUGCCAUCGGAUGUGCCCAGAUGGGAUUAGCUAGUAGGUGGGGUAACGGCUCACCUAGGCGACGAUCCCUAGCUGGUCUGAGAGGAUGACCAGCCACACUGGAACUGAGACACGGUCCAGACUCCUACGGGAGGCAGCAGUGGGGAAUAUUGCACAAUGGGCGCAAGCCUGAUGCAGCCAUGCCGCGUGUAUGAAGAAGGCCUUCGGGUUGUAAAGUACUUUCAGCGGGGAGGAAGGGAGUAAAGUUAAUACCUUUGCUCAUUGACGUUACCCGCAGAAGAAGCACCGGCUAACUCCGUGCCAGCAGCCGCGGUAAUACGGAGGGUGCAAGCGUUAAUCGGAAUUACUGGGCGUAAAGCGCACGCAGGCGGUUUGUUAAGUCAGAUGUGAAAUCCCCGGGCUCAACCUGGGAACUGCAUCUGAUACUGGCAAGCUUGAGUCUCGUAGAGGGGGGUAGAAUUCCAGGUGUAGCGGUGAAAUGCGUAGAGAUCUGGAGGAAUACCGGUGGCGAAGGCGGCCCCCUGGACGAAGACUGACGCUCAGGUGCGAAAGCGUGGGGAGCAAACAGGAUU